rnacentral:rRNA from 1 species
AUUGAACGCUGGCGGCAUGCUUUACACAUGCAAGUCGAACGGCAGCGCGGGCUUCGGCCUGGCGGCGAGUGGCGAACGGGUGAGUAAUGCAUCGGAACGUGCCCAGUAGUGGGGGAUAGCCCGUCGAAAGCCGGAUUAAUACCGCAUACGACCUGAGGGUGAAAGCGGGGGACCGAAAGGCCUCGCGCUAUUGGAGCGGCCGAUGUCGGAUUAGCUAGUUGGUGGGGUAAAGGCUUACCAAGGCGACGAUCCGUAGCUGGUCUGAGAGGACGACAAGCCACACUGGGACUGAGACACGGCCCAGACUCCUACGGGAGGCAGCAGUGGGGAAUUGUGGACAAUGGGGGCAAACCUGAUCCAGCCAUGCCGCGUGCGGGAAGAAGGCCUUCGGGUUGUAAACCGCUUUUGUUCGGGAAGAAAUCCUCUGGGCUAAUACCCCGGGGGGAUGACGGUACCGGAAGAAUAAGCACCGGCUAACUACGUG